rnacentral:lncRNA from 1 species
AAAUAAUAAAUAAAUAUUUUUUUAAUAGUUGGUCAAAAAUUAGUCAAUUUGACAAGGGACAUGUAAAUUGAGACGGAGGAGUAUUUUAACGGAAGGUAACGGAAUUCAACGGAAGAGGUGCGUAUCGUUGUAAAGAUAAGUGGUGAGAUUUGGGUUUCCAAAAGUCCAGGUAUAAUAUCGUUUUUGAACGUAAGUUAGGUAUAAUGUGCUUUUUAUAUAAGCCUCUUGUCGUUUAAUCAAAAAGUAAAUCUAGCCUAUUUUAAUAGAGGUAAAUAGUAGGGGGUCCGAAUUGCAAUUACCUCUAUUAUUUGUGAAAUUCGGACCCUCUAUUAUUUGCGAAAACAAAUAGACUAGAUUUACUUUUUGAUGAUAUUUUUUUU